GACGAACGCUGGCGGCGUGCUUAACACAUGCAAGUCGAACGGAAAGGCCCUGCUUUUGUGGGGUGCUCGAGUGGCGAACGGGUGAGUAACACGUGAGUAACCUGCCCUUGACUUUGGGAUAACUUCAGGAAACUGGGGCUAAUACCGGAUAGGAGCUCCUGCUGCAUGGUGGGGGUUGGAAAGUUUCGGCGGUUGGGGAUGGACUCGCGGCUUAUCAGCUUGUUGGUGGGGUAGUGGCUUACCAAGGCUUUGACGGGUAGCCGGCCUGAGAGGGUGACCGGCCACAUUGGGACUGAGAUACGGCCCAGACUCCUACGGGAGGCAGCAGUGGGGAAUAUUGCACAAUGGGCGGAAGCCUGAUGCAGCAACGCCGCGUGCGGGAUGACGGCCUUCGGGUUGUAAACCGCUUUCGCCUGUGACGAAGCGUGAGUGACGGUAAUGGGUAAAGAAGCACCGGCUAACUACGUGCCAGCAGCCGCGGUGAUACGUAGGGUGCGAGCGUUGUCCGGAUUUAUUGGGCGUAAAGGGCUCGUAGGUGGUUGAUCGCGUCGGAAGUGUAAUCUUGGGGCUUAACCCUGAGCGUGCUUUCGAUACGGGUUGACUUGAGGAAGGUAGGGGAGAGUGGAAUUCCUGGUGGAGCGGUGGAAUGCGCAGAUAUCAGGAGGAACACCAGUGGCGAAGGCGGUUCUCUGGGCCUUUCCUGACGCUGAGGAGCGAAAGCGUGGGGAGCGAACAGGCUUAGAUACCCUGGUAGUCCACGCUGUAAACGGUGGGUACUAGGUGUGGGGUCCAUUCCACGGGUUCCGUGCCGUAGCUAACGCUUUGAGUACCCCGCCUGGGGAGUACGGCCGCAAGGCUAAAACUCAAAGGAAUUGACGGGGCCCCGCACAAGCGGCGGAGCAUGCGGAUUAAUUCGAUGCAACGCGUAGAACCUUACCUGGGUUUGACAUGGAUCGGGAGUGCUCAGAGAUGGGUGUGCCUCUUUUGGGGUCGGUUCACAGGUGGUGCAUGCCUGUCGUCAGCUCGUGUCGUGAGAUGUUGGGUUAAGUCCCGCAACGAGCGCAACCCUUGUUCACUGUUGCCAGCACGUUAUGGUGGGGACUCAGUGGAGACCGCCGGGGUCAACUCGGAGGAAGGUGGGGAUGACGUCAAGUCAUCAUGCCCCUUAUGUCCAGGGCUUCACGCAUGCUACAAUGGCUGGUACAGAGAGUGGCGAGCCUGUGAGGGUGAGCGAAUCUCGGAAAGCCGGUCUCAGUUCGGAUUGGGGUCUGCAACUCGACCUCAUGAAGUCGGAGUCGCUAGUAAUCGCAGAUCAGCAACGCUGCGGUGAAUACGUUCCCGGGGCU
rnacentral:rRNA from 1 species